ACGACUCUCGACAACGGAUAUCUAGGCUCUCGCAUCGAUGAAGAACGUAGCAAAAUGCGAUACUUGGUGUGAAUUGCAGAAUCCCGUGAAUCAUCGAGUUUUUGAACGCAAGUUGCGCCCGAAGUCAUUAGGCCAAGGGCACGUCUGCCUGGGUGUCAC
rnacentral:rRNA from 1 species